rnacentral:rRNA from 1 species
AGCAUGUGGUUUAAUUCGAUGCAACGCGAAGAACCUUACCUGGGCUUGACAUCCCAAGAAUCCCCUGGAAACAGGGGAGUGCCCUUCGGGGAGCUUGGAGACAGGUGCUGCAUGGCUGUCGUCAGCUCGUGUCGUGAGAUGUUGGGUUAAGUCCCGCAACGAGCGCAACCCUUACCUUUAGUUGCCAUCAUUCAGUUGGGCACUCUAGAGGGACUGCCGGUGUCAAACCGGAGGAAGGUGGGGAUGACGUCAAGUCCUCAUGGCCUUUAUGCCCAGGGCUACACACGUGCUACAAUGGGCGGUACAAAGAGCAGCGAGCUCGCGAGAGUAAGCAAAUCUCAAAAAGCCGUCCUCAGUUCGGAUUGGAGUCUGCAACUCGACUCCAUGAAGUUGGAAUCGCUAGUAAUCGCGGAUCAGCAUGCCCGCGGUCCGAAUACGUUCCGGGCCUU